GACGAACGCUGGCGGCGUGCUUAACACAUGCAAGUCGAACGGAAAGGCCCUGCUUUUGUGGGGUGCUCGAGUGGCGAACGGGUGAGUAACACGUGAGUAACCUGCCCUUGACUUUGGGAUAACUUCAGGAAACUGGGGCUAAUACCGGAUAGGAGCUCCUGCUGCAUGGGGGGGGUUGGAAAGUUUCGGCGGUUGGGGAUGGACUCGCGGCUUAUCAGCUUGUUGGUGGGGUAGGGGCUUACCAAGGCUUUGACGGGUAGCCGGCCUGAGAGGGUGACCGGCCACCUUGGGCCUGCGAUACGGCCCAGACUCCUACGGGAGGCAGCAGUGGGGAAUAUUGCACAAUGGGCGGACGCCUGAUGCAGCAACGCCGCGUGCGGGAUGACGGCCUUCGGGUUGUAAACCGCUUUCGCCUGUGACGAAGCGUGAGUGACGGUAAUGGGUAAAGAAGCACCGGCUAACUACGUG
rnacentral:rRNA from 1 species